AGUGAACGCUGGCGGUAGGCCUAACACAUGCAAGUCGAACGGCAGCACAGUAAGAGCUUGCUCUUACGGGUGGCGAGUGGCGGACGGGUGAGGAAUACAUCGGGCUCUACUUUUUCGUGGGGGAUAACGUAGGGAAACUUACGCUCAUACCGCAUACGACCUACGGGUGAAAGCAGGGGAUCUUCGGACCUUGCGCGAUUGAAUGAGCCGAUGUCGGUUUAGCUAGUUGGCGGGGUGAAGGCCCACCAAGGCGACGAUCCGUAGCUGGUCUGAGAGGAUGAUCAGCCACCCUGGAACUGAGACACGGUCCAGACUCCUACGGGAGGCAGCAGUGGGGAAUAUGGGACAAUGGUCGCAAGCCUGAUCCAGCCAUACCGCGUGGGUGAAGAAGGCCUUCGGGUUGUAAAGCCCUUUUGUGGGGAAAGAAAAGCAGCAGCUUAAUACCCCGCUGUUCUGACGGUACCCAAAGAAUAAGCACCGGCUAACUUCGUG
rnacentral:rRNA from 1 species